rnacentral:rRNA from 1 species
AGAGUUUGAUCCUGGCUCAGGACGAACGCUGGCGGCGUGCUUAACACAUGCAAGUCGAACGCUGAAACCGGAGCUUGCUUUGGUGGAUGAGUGGCGAACGGGUGAGUAACACGUGGGCGAUCUGCCCUACACUUUGGGAUAAGCCUGGGAAACUGGGUCUAAUACCGAAUAUUCACACCACCGUAGGGGUGGUGUGGAAAGCUUUAUGCGGUGUGGGAUGAGCCUGCGGCCUAUCAGCUUGUUGGUGGGGUAAUGGCCUACCAAGGCGUCGACGGGUAGCCGGCCUGAGAGGGUGUACGGCCACAUUGGGACUGAGACACGGCCCAGACUCCUACGGGAGGCAGCAGUGGGGAAUAUUGCACAAUGGGCGCAAGCCUGAUGCAGCGACGCCGCGUGGGGGAUGAAGGCCUUCGGGUUGUAAACUCCUUUCGCUAGGGACGAAGCCUUUUUGGUGACGGUACCUGGAGAAGAAGCACCGGCUAACUACGUGCCAGCAGCCGCGGUAAUACGUAGGGUGCGAGCGUUGUCCGGAAUUACUGGGCGUAAAGAGCUCGUAGGUGGUUUGUCGCGUCGUCUGUGAAAUCCCGGGGCUUAACUUCGGGCGUGCAGGCGAUACGGGCAUAACUUGAGUGCUGUAGGGGAGACUGGAAUUCCUGGUGUAGCGGUGAAAUGCGCAGAUAUCAGGAGGAACACCAAUGGCGAAGGCAGGUCUCUGGGCAGUAACUGACGCUGAGGAGCGAAAGCAUGGGUAGCGAACAGGAUUAGAUACCCUGGUAGUCC